ensembl:lncRNA
CGAAGCCAUACUAUCGCAGUGGAACGACCUGUUCUUUGUAGCGAUUAUUAAGUGUUUACACUGCUUAAAGUCUUUUAAAGGCAAUAUGCCAGGUCCCAUAGUUCAGUGCGGGACUGCCACAACGGUACCCGUGGGCUAAAGAAGUGGAUGGAAGAGUUUUGCCCUAUUCACGAGUGCAAUAAAGGAACCUCGCGCUGUCUUAGUGACCCGCCUUAUGUACUCGUCACAUUUCCUACUGAAAGAAAAGAUCCAGAACGUCGUGCCGAAUGGAUUAAAUUAGGGAGGGCCCCCAGACAUCCAACACAAACCAAAUCUCACUCUAAGGUCUGGUCACAAGUUGGCAGCCCUGUGUUUCUACCAGCAGACACUGAAAGGACUCUGAUAGUUUGACCAAAGAACAACAGACUCUUCACAACCUGCUCAAACUCUUGGUACAGGACCUCACCACACGGAUCAAGAAGGUUUCCGUCUCAUUUCUACUCUGAAGCUCACCUUCUCCUGCUCAAACUGCUGACAAAUGUUUCUGCUGCUCUAAAGUCUGGUCUCCAGAACUUCCUAAAAACUCUCAAAGGCUCUUCUGCUGCAGGUUGCUUUGUAGAACUGUUCCAGAAAACCUCACUAAACCACAUGGAGGGGCCUCAAGAUAGUCGUCCAAAUGAAACCAUACAAAAACCAAACUAGCACAACCCAAACGCUAAAGUCUCCUGCAGCCUACCAGAGAACCUCUGAGAACAGAGAAUCAGUACAGGAACUCUUACCUUCUGGACAACCAACGUUGGUUCACAAACAAGAAUACAGAAUGUGUCUGACCAAAAACUUCUAAAGACUCACUACAGGCAAGAUAAUGACACAACUCAGCUGUACCAAAUCCACUAAUCACUGCACACAUUAGCACCAUGUGCUAACUGUGGCUAAAGAACCACCUUUACCAAGACAACUAUCCAGUACAAAGUCCUAAAACACACCAAGAAACACAUUAAAGACAAUUUUACUGCUGGAAGCUGCAAGCCAACGCCUAAAGAACAAACUAAAGCAAUGGAGCUAAACCCGGUUCAAUGGUGCAGAGAAGCAGAGGAAAUGUCUGACUGCAGAAAAACAAAGCAGGAAGACACUGAGCUGCUCAGGUGUUCCUGAUAACACCAAGCAGCCACCUGGACAGCCAAUAGGAACACAGCUUACUGGAAGUCCAGAGGGCUGGGUUAGUGAAGGAAAUUUAGUUUAAAGUUGAGGCAGAAAGUUAACAAAGAAAGUUGAAAACCAACUUCUGAUACCUGAAAUCUCUGAGUUUUCACACAAAGAACACCUGAACAUGUCAAACUGGUUUCAUAGUAGAACCAUCAUUGUAAAAACGUCAUAGUAUGAUGUGUUGCUCAAAAAACAUUAGGACCCGGCUGUCUAGGGUCGCCGAGGAGCAACACAAAAACAGGACAAACGCUGGUUUCCAGGGGGUUAGGCAGCUAUUUAUUUGAAAGAGUAAGUUUACAACAACACAACAUGUGAGCAGAAAAAUCACAAAGUCUGUCUUUAGUUCAGCUGAAAAUAUUAGUUUUUGUCUUUUUUAUUGAUCAAACUUUUCAGGAAGUAGAUGAAGAAUAAUUAAAGCUCUCAUGUAGAAGUCCAACUUAUUUUGGAUCCUUGUGGAGAGUUUAAUCUUAGAGUUUGUACAGCUGUUGAGUUUUUAGAGUCACAUGGAUUGUUUUGACAUUUAAUAACUGAGUCCUGAAAUAAAAUUACAGUUAUGGAUUUCUGUCAUUUAGUCUGGACUAAACAAAUAACAGCAGCAUAAAUCUCAAACAUCAUUAUGAGGAGUCUGGAUUGAGGUUUCUCACUUGAUAAUGAUCAAAACAUGAAAUUUAGGUUGGUUUAAAGGAAUAUUC